GAGAAUGGCAGAAUUCGUACAGCAUACUUUUUUUGGUGUUCCCUGAUAAAAUUUGUGCCACUUAUUAAGGGAACUAAGCCAUUCAUUUUUCUGUAAAAAUAAUAUUUUUAGAAGCUGGGGUUUAGCAAAUAUAUCAAUUAAAAGAUUUUAGUAACGAAACGUAAUAUAAUGAAACGAAACGUAGAAGACAUGUUUAGUUAGUUGCCAUUAAUAAAAUAUCAGAAGGCUCGAAAUGAUAAAUAAAUAUUUUGAAAUAGAAAUAACAGUAAAUAUAAUUAACCAAUUACAGGUUAUACCUUAGAAUAUAUAAUUAAUGCAUAUAUAUGCAUAGAAUCUUUAUAUUUAUAGGAAUUAUUUUUGCCAUCAGUAUUUUUUUUUGUAAUGGCAAUUAUUUAUUGACAGGUUCGUAAAAUCCCUAAUCUUUCAAAGUCUGUCUGUCCAGUUUUUGCCGUUGUUUUGUUUUGGAUUGUAGUUUGUAACUUCAUCUAAACAAUUUAGCAAUUAUCUGGCCAUUUUUACGUUGAGUUGAGCAACUGCUUCUCCGUUCUCUAUCUGUUGAUACUACUUUCGCGAAAGGACGCUUUAUUAAUUGUGUUGUGUGUUACGUGUUUUAUUGAAAAUGACGAGUUUGCAAUGCAUCAAUUGCAAUGUUCGCUUGUCCCGAAGAAGAAGACACGCUUUAUCAAAUGACGGUGAAGAUAUCGUCAACACUAAUCGUCUGUGGACAUAUCUUAGAGAUAUUACACCAGAUGACCAUGUUUACCAUGAAUGCUGGCAGCUAGCUAGUCAUUCAUGUUCCUCUGAUAAUAUGCCGAGAAGACACAUAGGCCAUCAGUGUUUGUGUUGUAUAUGGACAACCCAUACUAAGAAUCAGGCAAUGCAGAAUUUUGAUUGAAGAAGAACAAAGAACGGCUUACACAAUUGCAACUUAGAUAUAACCACAACAGCUUCAUCCUGAAGAUAAAGCUUGUGUGCGGUGUUGGUUAAGAGUGAGAACUAAGGAUACUUCACCAAAUGAAGAUAUUCAACCCGUUGAACCUUAUCAGCAGGAAAGUGAUAAUUCUGAACUGAUGUGUGCUGCAUGUGGUCAAAGUCUUACUCCCGACAACACUGCUUGUUUGUUGGAGCACCAGCAGACACCUUCCAUUAAUGAAGUUUGUGAAGUUUGCUGGGGCCAAGUAUGCAAUUUGAACUUCUAUGUUCCAGAUGGUCUAUGUUGCUUCAAGCUAAAAUAAAGUCCUGCCACUCUUCUCCUAGAACUUAUUUUGUUUUCAUAGUUGCAGAAACAAAUAUGAAUAGCCGGGACACAAUCAAAAGUAUUUGCUGUAAUUGUAUUGUAGGUUUAAGAACAGUGGGAUGCUGCUCACAUGUUAUGAGCAUUCUUUGGUAUUUGAGUUAUGCUUGCCAUGAGGGUAUGAG